rnacentral:rRNA from 1 species
GACGAACGCUGGCGGCGUGCCUAAUACAUGCAAGUCGAGCGCAGGAAAUCGACGGAACCCUUCGGGGGGAAGUCGACGGAAUGAGCGGCGGACGGGUGAGUAACACGUAAAGAACCUGCCCUCAGGUCUGGGAUAACCACGAGAAAUCGGGGCUAAUACCGGAUGGGUCAUCGGACCGCAUGGUCCGAGGAUGAAAGGCGCUCCGGCGUCGCCUGGGGAUGGCUUUGCGGUGCAUUAGCUAGUUGGUGGGGUAAUGGCCCACCAAGGCGACGAUGCAUGGCCGACCUGAGAGGGUGAUAGGCCACACUGGGACUGGGACACGGCCGAGACUCCUACGGGAGGCAGCAGUAGGAAUCUUCCACAAUGGACGAAAGUCUGAUGGAGCAACGCCGCGUGAACGAUGAAGGCCUUCGGGUCGUAAAGUUCUGUUGUAAGGGAAGAACAAGUGCCGCAGGCAAUGGCGGCACCUUGACGGUACCUUGCGAGAAAGCCACGGCUAACUACGUGCCAGCCGCCGCAGUAA